CCAAAGGAGCAAUCCGCUGAAAGAUGAGCUCGCGUCUGAUUAGAUAGUUGGUGAGGUAACGGCCCACCAAGUCGACGAUCAGUAGCCGGACUGAGAGGUUGAACGGCCACAUUGGGACUGAGACACGGCCCAGACUCCUACGGGAGGCAGCAGUGGNGGAAUAUUGCGCAAUGGGGGAAACCCUGACGCAGCAACGCCGCGUGAUUGAAGAAGGUCUUCGGAUUGNAAAAAUCUUUUAUCAAGGACGAAGAAGUGACGGUACUUGAUGAAUAAGCUCCGGCUAACUACGUGCCAGCAGCCGCGGUAAUACGUAGGGAGCAAGCGUUAUCCGGAUUUACUGGGUGUAAAGGNNCGAGUAGGCGGAUUGGCAAGUUGGGAGUGAAAUGUCGGGGCUUAACCCCGGAACUGCUUCCAAAACUGUUGAUCUUGAGUGAUGGAGAGGCAGGCGGAAUUCCCAGUGUAGCGGUGAAAUGCGUAGAUAUUGGGAGGGAACACCAGUGGCGAAGGC
rnacentral:rRNA from 1 species